rnacentral:piRNA from 1 species
GGAGAACCGAUCAGUGAGAAUUGGCUA